CCUACGGGGGGCAGCAGUGGGGAAUAUUGGACAAUGGGGGCAACCCUGAUCCAGCCAUGCCGCGUGUGUGAAGAAGGCCCUCGGGUUGUAAAGCACUUUCAGUGAGGAAGAACGCCUGGUGGUUAAUACCCAUCAGGAAAGACAUCACUCACAGAAGAAGCACCGGCUAACUCCGUGCCAGCAGCCGCGGUAAUACGGAGGGUGCGAGCGUUAAUCGGAAUUACUGGGCGUAAAGCGCGCGUAGGUGGCUUGAUAAGCCGGUUGUGAAAGCCCCGGGCUCAACCUGGGAACGGCAUCCGGAACUGUCAAGCUAGAGUGCAGGAGAGGAAGGUAGAAUUCCCGGUGUAGAGGUGAAAUGCGUAGAGAUCGGGAGGAAUACCAGUGGCGAAGGCGGCCUUCUGGACUGACACUGACACUGAGGUGCGAAAGCGUGGGUAGCAAACAGGAUUAGAUACCCUUGUAGUC
rnacentral:rRNA from 1 species